rnacentral:rRNA from 1 species
UACGUAGGGUGCAAGCGUUGUCCGGAAUUAUUGGGCGUAAAGAGCUCGUAGGCGGUCUGUCGCGUCGGCUGUGAAAACCCGAGGCUCAACCUCGGGCCUGCAGUCGAUACGGGCAAACUAGAGUACUGCAGGGGAGACUGGAAUUCCUGGUGUAGCGGUGAAAUGCGCAGAUAUCAGGAGGAACACCUAUGGCGAAGGCAGCUCUCUGGGACGGUACUGACGCUGAGACGCGAAAGCGUGGGGAGCAAACAGG